rnacentral:rRNA from 1 species
GACGUAGGGUGCGAGCGUUGUCCGGAUUUAUUGGGCGUAAAGAGCUCGUAGGCGGCUCGUCGCGUCGACCGUGAAAACCCGCAGCUUAACUGCGGGCUUGCGGUUGAUACGGGCGGGCUAGAGUUCGGUAGGGGGAGACGUGGAAUUCCUGGUGUAGCGGUGGAAAAUGCGCAGAUAUCAGGAGGAACACCGGUGGCGAAGGCGGGUCUCUGGGCCGAUACUGACGCUGAGGAGCGAAAGCGUGGGGAGCGAACAGG